rnacentral:lncRNA from 1 species
UAUGAAGAAGUGUUAGUAGGAGUGGAAUCCACUACAUAAACACUGUAGACUCAUUGCAUUUCAGGUCAGUAAAGGACCCCAAGGAGACCCUGGACUUUCACUGCUGGAAUCUUUCUUCCAAUCCACUUUGACAUGGGAAUCUAGGAAAGUCUUCUGUACCAGAACCCAAAAGGGAUCAUGGCCAAACUCAACCACCCAAGUAAGGAAAAUGAAAGAUGUGGGAAGACAACAUGGUCUAAUUAAUGGAAAUAGUCUAAGGGU